GAUGAAGAACGCAGCGAAAUGCGAUAAGUAGUGUGAAUUGCAGAAGUACCGUGAAUCAUCGAAUCUUUGAACGCAAAUUGCACUCUCUGGUAUUCCGGGGAGUAUGCCUGUUUGAGGGUCGCUUAACAAACCAUCGAUUUCGUUGCUUUUUUUUUUUAAAAAAGUGAUGUUUAUCGGAUUUGAGCCGUCUUUUUUUUUAUAUUUAAGUGGCUUAAAAUUGAUUUUUUUGGUACGAUCGAAGCGUAUUUUUAUGAUCAAUUUUUGGUUAAAGAAACGCACACGUACCGUUAUUUAUAUGAUGUAAUACGUUUGACUAUUGGAUUUAGUUCAUUCGUAUACGAUAUUUUUCAAUAUUUGACCUCAAAUCAGGUAAGAACACCCGCUGAACUUAAGCAUAUCAAUAAGCGGAGGA
rnacentral:misc_RNA from 1 species